UACGGAGGGUGCAAGCGUUAUCCGGAUUUAUUGGGUUUAAAGGGUGCGUAGGCGGAUUGAUAAGUCAGUGGUGAAAUCCUGCAGCUUAACUGUAGAACUGCCAUUGAUACUGUUAAUCUUGAGUAUAGUUGAGGUAGGCGGAAUGAGUAGUGUAGCGGUGAAAUGCUUAGAUAUUACUCAGAACACCGAUUGCGAAGGCAGCUUGCCAAGCUAUCACUGACGCUGAUGCACGAAAGCGUGGGGAUCGAACAGG
rnacentral:rRNA from 1 species